rnacentral:rRNA from 1 species
GAGCAGAUCCCGGAGAUGAUUCUGAGACAUGAUCCAGGCCCUACGGGGCGCAGCAGGCGCGCAAACUUUACAAUGCGAGCAAUCGUGAUAAGGAAACCCUGAGUGCCUGUCGAUGCAGGCUGUUCAUAUAUCUAAAUCAUAUGUGAAGAAAGGGCAGGGCAAGACCGGUGCCAGCCGCCGCGGUAAUACCGGCUGCUCGAGUGAUGGCCACUAUUACUGGGUUUAAAGCGUCCGUAGCUUGACUGUUAGGUCUCUUGGGAAAUCUUCGCGCUUAACGUGAAGGCGUCUAAGAGAUACCGGCAGUCUUGGAACUGGGAGAGGUAAACCGUACUUCGGGGGUAGGAGUGAAAUCUUGUAAUCCUCGAGGGACGACCUAUGGCGAAGGCAGUUUACCAGAACAGCUUCGACAGUGAGGGACGAAAGCUGGGGGAGCAAACGGGAUUAGAUACCCCGGUAGUCCCAGCCGUAAACAAUGUGCGUUAGGUGUGUCGGUAACCACGUGUUACUGAUGCGCCGAAGAGAAAUCGUGAAACGCACCACCUGGGAAGUACGGUCGCAAGGCUGAAACUUAAAGGAAUUGGCGGGGGAGCACCACAACAGGUGGAGCCUGCGGUUUAAUUGGAUUCAACGCCGG